UUAUUGGAGAGUUUGAUCCUGGCUCAGGACGAACGCUGGCGGCGUGCCUAAUACAUGCAAGUCGAGCGAUAUC
rnacentral:rRNA from 1 species